ACUGGGAAUGAUUUCAGGCCCGGGGUUUUUCUGCACGGAGUCUGCAUGUUCUCCCUGUGCAUGGUGGGUUCUCUCCGGGUUCUCCGGCUUCCUCCCACAGUCCAGAAACAUGACUGUCAGGUUAAUUGGUCUCUCUAAAUUCUCCCUAGGUGUGAGUGU